UAUUCUAAACAUUUGCUAACUUUUCUGCAUUGCUAAUAUAUUUACUCAAUUUUUUUAAAUUAGUUUACUGUUCUGACCUCCCAAUCAUCAUCUGCAAGCCAAAGAAGAUUUUUUCUCCUUAUUACUUUCCAGUUAUCUUGUUUGCCCUUCCAAUCAACUGCAAUCCGCUGAUUAGGACUCCUCAUUAUUUGGUUUUGCGGAAAAGAAACUUGAUCCACAAUGAAUCCACAACAAAGAAUAUGAAAACCAUCUUGAUCCUACAUAACAUAAUCUGAUGCGGUGAUAUUAUUCUUAUUAAUCUUUAUUAUAGAAACAUAUACAAUAUAUUUUUUUCAAGAUUUAUUUAUAAAUCUAUUACCAGUUAUAAUAUGUUAACCUGUUCAAAGUUCACCCUUUAGAAAAUAAAAGUUUUAUUCAUUGAAAAUACUAUGUUAGCUUAUUGUUUUUAUUAUUAUUCCUCAUACUUACAGCACCCUAAAACUUAAAUGACGCAAUAUGUGGGAAAUACAUACGCGUGUAUGUCUUUGAGGGAAACAUGGGAAAUGAUGAUAGCGUCAAUUGGCUAGAUGGUUUACGCCAUCAAAGAACCAUAUAUAUUUGCUAAUCUGAUCCCAUCCUUACCUUCAUAAUUUUAAUUUCCAAUUCCAAUUUUUUAUAUAUCAAUAUUAAAAAUUUACUAUUUUGCGAGUUUGGAAGCAAAUUUGUGUAAUGUGUACAUUAAACACACAAAUAUGUUCCGAUUGGUAAUCUAUUCAAAUAUUAUUGCAAAUACAAUUAGAAUAUAUAAAUAGUGGGAGCGCAGAAUGAAUCCA